AAACCACACACCUAAUACAGUGAGAUUUAAGUGAUUGUUAAUGCCUUAUCCAUGCACUUGUAACCAUUGCCAAAGAUCACGAGAUUUGAAGAUCCGCACAAAGUCGAGGGUCAAACUUCCCCUUUGAAUUGAAUAAUGUCGGCGAUCACUCUCACCCUCAACAUUUGCCAAGAUCGCUCUAGGAUGUACCUCAGGUCAGACAGAUAAGGUUAGCUCAGAAGACAUCAAAUCGGUUAAGAGUAACAUCGAUAAGGUCGAGAUUCUUUUCUUAGUAUCAUUCGGGGUAAGAAUUCCCCCAUAUCACCAUCCAUCAUUCCUUUUCGUUAAUAUAAAAUUCAUAUAAUUCAUUGAUCA
rnacentral:lncRNA from 1 species